rnacentral:lncRNA from 1 species
UUUUUUUUUUUUUUUUUUUUUUAUCAUUGUCCAAAAAACCAGGUGCUGUCCCUUAAAUCCUCUGGAAGCUAUUUCAGCGGGGGGGGGGUGGGAAGAGUGGCGGCUGCCUUCUGUGUCUGCUCUUCCUUCAUGAUCCGAAGCAGCCACCCCCAGUCAGAACACAGAACUCCAGCGCUUAGAGGCAAAGGUUUUAUUUUAUUUUAUUUUUAAAGAUUUUAUUCAUGAAAGACACAGAGAGAGAGGCAGAGACACAGGCAGAGGGAGAAGCAGGCUCCAUGCAGGGAUCCCGACGUGGGACUCGAUCCCGGGUUUCCAGGAUCAAGCCCUGGGCUGAAGGUGGCGCUAAACCACUGAGCCACCCAGGGAUCCCGAGGCAAAGGCUUUAAUUCCUACCCUAAGCUCCAGCAAGUAAACUAGGGCCGUGGGCUUCAUCUGGGCGCCAGUAGAGGCUGGGUGGCUCCUGGCGUCCUGGAGGCUGACCUCUACCGCUGAUCAGUCAGGGUCUCCGCUGGGAUCUAGAACUCUGACUCCAGAGUAAUCACUAGAUAGACACCUGCUUCCAGUACAACUGUUGUCUAGCUGGAGAGAUGGAUUCCUGGCGCUACUUACUCCCCCAUCUUCCCCGACAUCACUUCCUCCAUGUCUUUGGAAUUUAUCUUGCUUUCUGGAAAAUCUUUUCAGUUUUAUCCCCUGACUCUACUACUAAAUGUUUUAUUGUUGUUGUCACAGUAAUUCUAAGUGUAUUUCCUGAUUCUCUGUUCUCUUUUUAUAAUCUCUUUUAUUUCAUGGGUGAUUUUUUUUUCCUCUUCAUGGGUGAUUUUUUUUUCCCUCUGUGGAUGCUAAUAUAGUGUCUUUCCAUGUUUUUCUGCUCCCUGCAUUAUUUGUCUUUCCUUUGAGUUGUUUUUCACCUGUUUUCUCUCUUUCACAUUGGAGGCUUUCCUCAAAUUUCUGGCAAUCUUCGUUCACUUUUAAGAAGACGGCUCUAAAAAGCUGACUGGAAGGUGUUCAGGUGUUUUCAUUACUGCAGCACUAUCCAAGGAGCAUACUGUGAGCCACAUACGUAAUUUCAGAUUUUCUAGUAGCUACUUUUAAAAAGCAAAGCAGAUGAAGUUAACAAUACAUUUUAUUUUACCCAAGAGAGACAAAAUAUUAUUUCAACAUAUUUUAACCAGUGUAAAAAUUAUUGUGAAAUAAUUAUCAUUAUUAUUUCAUGAGGCAUUUUAUGUUAUGUUUUGCAUUGUCUUCAAAACCCAGUGUGUUUUAUAAAAGUUGUAGCAGUUCAUACACUGAAUUACUUGAUCCAUAUUUAGAUUUAUAAAACUUAGUGUUUAAAAGUAGGUUCACAUGGUUCUUCCAAACAUAUCUUGUUAUUCUAAAUAUGCUUAAAGUUUUCCAGUAACUGGACCAAAUUACCAAAGUAAUUCAAAGGAAUUACUUUACUCUGAUACUUGCAUCCACAUUGACAAAACAGUUCAUCUUUCUUAUUAGAGGAAUUGAUUUUGAAGCAAAAGCAUAUCAUUUAGAAAACUGUUUGUUCAAGUAAAUUCACUAACUCUUAUAUCAUCUCAGUAUUAUUAACAGCAAAUUUGGCAUAAAGUAGUGCAUAAAAUGGAAACAAAACUAAAUUUAUCCAUAUCAACAAACCAGUACUUUCAUUUGUCUUGUUUUAUUUUUUGUAGCUAACUUAUGUAAGAUGCUGCUGAUUACAUUUAAAAUUUGUAUAUUGACCCAAUGUUAGAAAAAUAUGUACAAUUGUCAUUUUUUAUUUGUAUCAUGAAAUAUUUGUUUUAACUAAAGUAUUUCACCUAAGUAGGUACAAGUUUUUCCUGUUCUAAGGAGCUUCAAAAUUAGCAUAUUCAUAUGCAGUGUUAUGUUAAGGAGAAUUCUUGCUCUGCCACUUUUUGUCUUUGGUUUUUGAAUAUAUGGCAGGCAUUCCUUUGUUUUAAGAAAACCUUGAAUUGGAAUUUUUUUUUUUUGAAUUGGAAUUUCUAGUACAGGGAAUCUUUGUAAAAAUUCUUUUAUAACUCAACCAAGGAACAUUAGUAAAAACACAAGAUCACUAAAAAAUAUUUUCUUCACCAGUUCCCUAACCUGGCAGUGAAUAUUUUAUAGCAUUUGCACAUACAUACUGAAGAAUUUUAACAUCUGUAUUCAUGACUCUUUCUAGAGUCUGCUUUAGAAAACCGAACACAAAUAUUUUCAAUAGUUACCAGACAGUGAAACAAAAGAGUGAGGGAAACAUCAUUCUCUUGCUUUAAAAUUCCAGUACUUUUGGUCUUUUGACAACAUAGUUGGAGUCUCAUCAUAGAAACUAAUUUUUCUAUGUCUAGCUGAAAUUCUUCCAACAGAUGAGAAAAUGUCAAAAACACCUGUCAUGAGUUUGAGUUUUUAGGCAAUGAAUUGACAUUUCUUCAUAAAUUUGGAUGUUCUUUGAGACAGAAUGUACCAAAAUUUUCAAUGGGAACUGUCUUAUGUGACUCAUCUAAAAGUAAAUACUUGCAACUUUUCAAUUUGUGAGUCAAUUAAUCUUUAUUAGUAUUAGAAAUUUCUUGUAUUCUGUGAACAACAUUGUUUAGAGGGUUAAUUGAAAAGUUCGAUUUUUGUAAAUGUCUUCAAGUCUUAUAAUUUUCUAACGAAAUUACCAUAACUAAAAUGAUAAUUUCAUCAUCUCUCCGCCUAAGAUUCUUUGUAUGUGUGUGUUCAAGAAUUCAAGUAUUGUAGAGUUGGCCAAAUUUACAAGCUCAGCAAUGCUGUUAAACUUUUUUUUUUUAUGGAAAUUACUCAUUUCAUGUGACCGUUUUGUGGGUUUUUUUGACUGUUAGAAUACUUAUCGAACUAACUAGAUCGUUGCUGAAAAUGACAAAUACUAGCUGUUGUCUUAAAUAUUGUCUACAGUAUUGAACACUUUUGUAUACAACAAACAGCUUUUUCAUUUUGCUGUGCCUGCAGUAAGUUGCAAUCGCCAUUCAUCAUCGAAUGUGCACUCUACCCCCGCCCCCUUUUCUCUUGAUUGUACUAGUUGUAGUACUGGCUUCUGUAGUGAACUGAAUUCUGCCUCAGUAAUAUGCCUUCGUUUAAAAUUUAAAUAUUUUCCCGUAUUUUUUUAAUCUAGAAAAUAAUUAUAAUUAAAAUAGCAUCUCAGUUGAUGAUUAUGAUUUGCAUAGGUAUCACUGUAACUUGUGCUGUCUACCUUGGUAUACUUGAACUUGUGCUAACCACAUAAAAUAUCCAAGUAAACACAUCGUGAUGUUAUCUCAGUGCAUAGAAGAAAAUCAUCUGAACCAAAUCAAUCUGUUGAUACUGCCUAGAUUGGUGAAGUGUUUAUCUGUAAUACUAGAACUAAUGCACGUUCCUGUACAAGCAUUACAGUACAGCAACAUCCUAUGCGAUGCAACAGUUAAAGUGAAUUGUAGUUCUAUGAAAACAAUAAAGUUGUGUUGAAUGGGAAAA